AGAACGAACGCUGGCGGCAUGCCUAACACAUGCAAGUCGAACGCUUCCGGGGCUUCGGUCGCGGAGGAGUGGCGCACGGGUGAGUAGCGCGUGGGAACCUGCCCUGUUGUGGGGGAUAACCGAGGGAAACUUCGGCUAAUACCGCAUACGCCCCGGGACUUGGUCUUCGGAUUAGGUCUGGGGGAAAGAUUGAUCGCAGCAGGAGGGGCCCGCGUCGGAUUAGCUGGUUGGUGGGGUAACGGCUCACCAAGGCGAUGAUCCGUAGCUGGUCUGAGAGGAUGAUCAGCCACACUGGGACUGAGACACGGCCCAGACUCCUACGGGAGGCAGCAGUGGGGGAAUAUUGGACAAUGGGGGCAACCCUGAUCCAGCAAUGCCGCGUGAGUGAUGAAGGCCUUAGGGUUGUAAAGCUCUUUCGCCCGCGACGAUGAUGACGGUAGCGGGAGAAGGAACGCCCCGGCUAACUUCGUGCCAGCAGCCGCGGU
rnacentral:rRNA from 1 species